rnacentral:rRNA from 1 species
GACGAACGCUGGCGGCGUGCUUAACACAUGCAAGUCGAACGGAAAGGCCCUGCUUUUGUGGGGUGCUCGAGUGGCGAACGGGUGAGUAACACGUGAGUAACCUGCCCUUGACUUUGGGAUAACUUCAGGAAACUGGGGCUAAUACCGGAUAGGAGCUCCUGCUGCAUGGUGGUGGUUGGAAAGUUUCGGCGGUGGGGGAUGGACUCGCGGCUUAUCAGCUUGUUGGUGGGGUAGUGGCUUACCAAGGCUUUGACGGGUAGCCGGCCUGAGAGGGUGACCGGCCACAUUGGGACUGAGAGACGGCCCAGACUCCUACGGGAGGCAGCAGUGGGGAAUAUUGCACAAUGGGCGGAAGCCGGAUGCAGCAACGUCGGGUGCGGGAUGACGGCCUUCGGGUGGUAAACCGCUUUCGCCUGUGACGAAGCGUGAGUGACGGUAAUGGGUAAAGAAGCAACGGCUAACUACGUG